rnacentral:rRNA from 1 species
GACGAACUCUGGCGGCGUGCUUAACACAUGCAAGUCGAACGGAAAGGCCCUGCUUUUGUGGGGUGCUCGAGUGGCGAACGGGUGAGUAACACGUGAGUAACCUGCCCUUGACUUUGGGAUAACUUCAGGAAACUGGGGCUAAUACCGGAUAGGAGCUCCUGCUGCAUGGUGGGGGUUGGAAAGUUUCGGCGGUUGGGGAUGGACUCGCGGCUUAUCAGCUUGUUGGUGGGGUAGUGGCUUACCAAGGCUUUGACGGGUAGCCGGCCUGAGAGGGUGACCGGCCACAUUGGGACUGAGAUACGGCCCAGACUCCUACGGGAGGCAGCAGUGGGGAAUAUUGCACAAUGGGCGGAAGCCUGAUGCAGCAACGCCGCGUGCGGGAUGACGGCCUUCGGGUUGUAAACCGCUUCCGCCUGUGACGAAGCGUGAGUGACGGUAAUGGGUAAAGAAGCACCGGCUAACUACGUG